AGGUUACAGAUGAAGAAGUGCAAAGGCGGUUUCAUGGACCAUUUAAGGGAGGGUUUUCUGCUGGUUACUAUAAUACUGUGGGCUGUAAGGAGGGGUGGGCUCCACAGUCAUUUACCUCGUCCUGGAAGAACCAGGCUGAAGUUAAAAAGCAGAGUAUGUUUAACUUCUUAGAUGAUGGUGAGAAAGCGGAAAUGGAAGGCUGUUCCCUGGGGACAUCUUUUGCAGUUUGAUACAUUUGGAUUUGCAGCUGCAGAGCUUGCUCCAAAACAAGCUGAGAAGGAACAACAGCAAAGGUACUGUCAGGUGCAUUUCAUGCAUAUUGCUCAAUGGGGUAUCAAUAGGUUUAUAACCUCGUUAAAGUUGGAUCUACUUACCUCAGUUAGCACUUACUAUUUUACUGCUAGUUUAAAAUCUCAGGAGGCAAACCCUCAAAAAGUCCAAACCAUGAUGUGUUCAAAUUCACCACGGUUGAAUUCCCUGUAACUGAGUGUAAAUAAAAAAGUGCUCCUAAUACUUUUGAAGCAA